GGAAUGACACAGAUAGAACUCACGGGGCCCAGGGAUUCAGGAAAUGAAGGAUAGGAAAAAGGUCAGCCUACCCCACUGGACCGGAGUCUGCAGGAGAGGAAGAUAGCAUCUGCUUGCCGUGGAGUCUCCAAGACUGGCACUGUGCCUGGCCUUUGGAUUCCUAUAAAACAAAGAACCAAACAGCAGGAUGCCCAGGUCUCCUGAGCCCAGCCCUGCUUUCCUGGGGUUUGAAAUGUUCUUCAUCUGCACAGUGAAGGAAAAUGGUGCUGUCCUCAAGUGGGAGCCUAGUGUGCACUUGGCCCAGAAAUCCAGCAGAAUUAACUAA
rnacentral:lncRNA from 1 species